GCAUAUGUACGAAAAUUGGAAUUGAAACCAUACAGAGAAGAUUAGCAUGGCCCUUGAGUAAGAAAGGUAUGCAAAUUCAUGAAGCCUUCCAUAUUUAC
rnacentral:snRNA from 1 species